GGUCGCUUGAAAUGCAGGUGCGGCUGGACACAUCUUCUGAGCUAUAAGCAUUACUUAUUUAAUCCCGUUAAACGGAUUAUUUCUAUUGCUGCAGCUAACAUAAAGGUUGAUUGUCCUUGUGCCCGACUGAUGCAGGAAACAAAGAGACAAUCUUUGUUCAACUCGAUCUCAAAUCAAGUAAGACUACCCGCUGAACUUAA
rnacentral:misc_RNA from 1 species